rnacentral:tRNA from 2 species
GCGGGUGUAGUUUAGUGGUAAAACUACAGCCUUCCAAGCUGUUGUCGCGAGUUCGAUUCUCGUCACCCGCUUCA